AGGUGGCUAUGGACCUGGACCAACCCCCCACUACAAGCACAGCGGCCAGAGCAAAAUUAUAGUAAUGGGAACCACACCCAGCAAGAAUCAGCAGCUGUGGAAGAGACAGCGGCGAGGAGAGAAGUAGAGGAGAAAUGAAAGUUUUAGUAGCACAUAAAAGAUUGAGAUUUGGGGCCAACAGGUUUGUAGAGGUUGGGAAGGCGUCCGGGGCAUCACAACAAAAGGUGAAACAAAAACACACACACAAGCAGAGAAAUGUGAGAGAAAAGCACCUUUUUAAGGAAACGCCUUGUUGGAAAAAAAGCAAAAAGCUAAGGUAGAGAGAAGCUUUGCCGGAUCUGCAGCUCCACUGAACACACAUAAUAUUAACCCGCCUACAAAUGCACACACACGCAAUGAAAAGCAGCUUACACUCAUGAACAUGUGAAUUAUUUUUCAGUAUGGUUAAAGCAGGGAAAUUUAACAUACACCUGUUGUUAAAUGAUGAAGUUUAUCCAUUACUUACAAAUAAACUCUCUGGGUUGCAGGACAGGAUUGAACAACACAAGUGAUUACUGAAGGAAGGAAAAUUCCCUUUUGCUGCUUUGCCGGCACUGGAAGCCGAGGCUGACCUGGAUUCCUGCUUUCCCCUCUACCAUCUUGGACGUGACUCUGACCAAAUGCUGCAGCAGCUGGACCCACCACAACAGCCUGAAAAUGUCAACAGUGAUGCAGGAAAAGGAUCUCAUGCAGCGGAGACAGAGAGUGCUAAACCCAAGGCCUGUUUCACUACACGGGGGAAAAUUCCCAGACAGCUUCAGCUGACAGAGCUGUGACGAGACGCCCAAUAAGCCCGGAUGAGCAGCAAAAUCAGUGUCACACAGCAACAGCUCUGGCUGGGAACCCCCACACAUGCAGGCUGUGUCCCAAUUCAGGGUCUGCACGCCUACGUGCGACUUUAAACCAGAGCCAGACGUCAUCUACUCUUCACUGAAGUAGUCCACCAGUCCAACCACUGACGUCCAGCUGCUGGUCUCAAACUGGUCCUCAAACAGUACCUCAGACCAGAGGACAUCCACAUGUUCAAGACUUGUUUUUUUUGUUUUUUUGUCUUGUUAUCACUGAAUUAGACUCUGAUGGCCCAGAACGACUUACUGGAAGUCAGUUCAUUGACUUGACGUUUGUUGGUGUAUAAAACCCCUGUGAUUUGUGUAUAUAGACUGUUCCACGCACCCCCUCUAACCACUGCUAAGAUGGUACAUUCCUCCCAUCCUUUGUUUGUGUUUGCGCUGGUUCACCGUGAUAGCGCUGGUGGAGCUGGGCUGUUGUACUGAACAUGUGUCGUGCGUGUGCGUGAAUAAUAAGUAAGUGCCUUGUAUUUGUUUGUUCUAUGGUUGUAACUUAUCAUAUACUUGCCCAUGUACAUUGUGUGAUGCUUUUAUAGAGUUUUCCGGCGGUUUGUGUAGCCAUGAGACACUGUAUAUUCACGCUGAUUUGACCAAAAUGGCGCCACCCUUGUGAACUGAGCUGCCCAAAGUAAAGAUGGAGUCGAUCCCUGUGCAGCAGCCCAUUUGUGUCCACCAGGGGGUGGUGUUUAGUCAUUUUCAAAUAGAUUUUCUGUUCAACCCUUUCUGUAUUAUUUAGACCAGUUUGGUUGACUUUGUUUGCUAAUUCUAAUUUCUGUUACUUUACAGAACCACACAUACUAAUGUAUACUCACAAAUCCGCUUCUGAGGAUGUUUGAAUUAAAGGAACCCAAAUUAUCAUCGCUGUGGACCCUCUCUUUCAUCAUAUAAGUCACCUGUGCCUUCUGACCGAGGAUAGGAAUAUCCUGCUGUCAUUUGCCAGUUUAUUAAGCACACACAUGUCCAGUUCAGUUGGCUUUGUUCCCAGAGCAGUUUCUCUGCAGGAUUAAUAAACUUUUGGUCUCUAAUAUUUUCCUCCUGUGGUUCUGUGGGUUUUACAAAGGUUUCAAAUAGAAAAUUCUACCUGUUCCGGUUUGGUUGUGGUAAACUGUCAGACACACGCCCUCUUUGCAGAAACAAACACUAAACCACAACCACAGACUAUAAACAGCCAGAGCAUCAUUCAGUGUCUUUAGACCAC